ACCCAGCCUCACUUCCUGGGCUUCCUGCUCUUGAACAUAAUCAGGUCCUUUGCUGAUAGACCUGUGAUUGGAAGACCCUGGGGUGUUGCUGAACUCAGUCUGAGCACCCUGGAAGGAAGACAGAAGAUGCUGGGAGAGGGGCCAGCUUGCAGCAGAAGGACAGUGGGAAUGGCAUGUGAGCCCCCAGUCUAGAAUGAUAUCCCCCUUUGAGCUGACAGCCCCAUCUCCAGCCCCAGGGAUGGUGCUUGCUGAAGAAGUACAAAUGUUUCCUGCUGCUUGUAAUCUAUCUUGCAAAUAUAAGUAUUCUGGAAGAAGGAUUUAUUUUAAUAAUGGUUGACCUGCAGCUGUGAGGAGAGACUGGCUUUGGAAGCCGCACAGGGCAGGCAGCGUGUUUCGGCCCCGGACCUGCAGCCGUGAGGAGAGACUGGCUUUGGAAGCCGCACGGGGCGGGCAGCGUGUUCCGGCCCCGGACCUGCAGCCGUGAGGAGAGACUGGCUUUGGAAGCUGCAUGGGGCGGGCAGCGUGUUCCGGCCCCGGUAGUCCCAGCGGCGUCGUCGCUCCUCCGUGACUCACUGGAGGGGGGAGCCGUCCCCUCGUGGAGCAGGUGAGAUGGCGGAGCCUGCGGGAGGCCCUGCUGGGCCCUCUGUGUGUCAUGGGAGCGGUCGAGGGGUUUCUCCCCGCUGGGACCCCCUCCUCCUGAGAGGCUGGGAGCUCUGAAGGAUAAAUGAAGGUGCAGCGUGAUCAGCCUUAACACUGGGAAUGGAAGACCCACGAAGGAAAGGCCUUUUAGUUUUGUGUCUUCAAACCUGAAACACUUCUAGAUUUGACCGGAGUCCUGUCAAAUUGAGCACAAUCGGGUAUGAGGCCCGCUCCCUGGGCUUUAACAAACUCUGUUAUCGGCGUCUGCUGCACAAUCUGAAAAGGCAAGAAAUGUGGCUUUCCCUGUUUAGAAAAUCUUUGUGGGUUCCCCCCAACCCAGG